rnacentral:rRNA from 1 species
GAAAAGCGUGGGGGAGCAAAACAGGAUUAGGAUACCCUGGUAGUCCACGCCGUAAACGAUGUCUACUUGGAGGUUGUGGCCCUGAGCCGUGGCUUUCGGAGCUAACGCGUUAAGUAGACCGCCUGGGGAGUACGGUCGCAAGAUUAAAACUCAAAUGAAUUGACGGGGGCCCGCACAAGCGGGUGGAGCAUGUGGUUUAAUUCGAUGCAACGCGAAGAACCUUACCUACUCUUGACAUCCAGAGAACUUUCCAGAGAUGGAUUGGUGCCUUCGGGAACUUUGAGACAGGUGCUGCAUGGCUGUCGUCAGCUCGUGUUGUGAAAUGUUGGGUUAAGUCCCGCAACGAGCGCAACCCUUAUCCUUGUUUGCCAGCGAGUAAUGUCGGGAACUCCAGGGAGACUGCCGGUGAUAAACCGGAGGAAGGUGGGGACGACGUCAAGUCAUCAUGGCCCUUACGAGUAGGGCUACACACGUGCUACAAUGGCGCAUACAGAGGGCAGCCAACUUGCGAAAGUGAGCGAAUCCCAAAAAGUGCGUCGUAGUCCGGAUUGGAGUCUGCAACUCGACUCCAUGAAGUCGGAAUCGCUAGUAAUCGUGGAUCAGAAGGCCACGGUGAGAGUUUGAUCGGGCCUCAGGCAUAAGUGGUAACAAGGUACACCAUGCUAGAGUUUGAUCCUGGCUCAGGAUAAGUC